UCAGUAGCUCAGUGGUAGAGCGGUCGACUGUUAAUUGACUGGUCGUAGGUUCGAGUAUUUUUGA
rnacentral:tRNA from 1 species